rnacentral:rRNA from 1 species
UACGUAGGUGGCAAGCGUUGUCCGGAUUUAUUGGGUUUAAAGGGUGCGUAGGCGGCCCUGUAAGUCAGUGCUGAAAUAUCCCGGCUUAACCGGGAGGGUGGCAUUGAUACUGCGGGGCUAGAGUACAGAUGAGGUAGGCGGAAUUGACGGUGUAGCGGUGAAAUGCGUAGAGAUCGGGAGGAACAUCUGUGGCGAAGGCGGCCAUCUGGAUCAACACUGACGCUGAGGCACGAAAGCGUGGGGAGCAAACAGG